GAUUUCCGUAGGUGAACCUGCGGAGGGAUCAUUACCGAGUUAUACAACUCAUCAACCCUGUGAACAUACCUAUAACGUUGCCUCGGCGGGAACAGACGGCCCCGUAACACGGGCCGCCCCCGCCAGAGGACCCCCUAACUCUGUUUCUAUAAUGUUUCUUCUGAGUAAACAAGCAAAUAAAUUAAAACUUUCAACAACGGAUCUCUUGGCUCUGGCAUCGAUGAAGAACGCAGCGAAAUGCGAUAAGUAAUGUGAAUUGCAGAAUUCAGUGAAUCAUCGAAUCUUUGAACGCACAUUGCGCCCGCCAGUAUUCUGGCGGGCAUGCCUGUUCGAGCGUCAUUACAACCCUCAGGCCCCCGGGCCUGGCGUUGGGGAUCGGCGGAAGCCCCCUGCGGGCACAACGCCGUCCCCCAAAUACAGUGGCGGUCCCGCCGCAGCUUCCAUUGCGUAGUAGCUAACACCUCGCAACUGGAGAGCGGCGCGGCCACGCCGUAAAACACCCAACUUCUGAAUGUUGACCUCGAAUCAGGUAGGAAUACCCGCUGAACUUAAGCAUAUCAAUAAGCGGAGGA
rnacentral:rRNA from 1 species